GAUGAACGCUGGCGGCGUGCCUAAUACAUGCAAGUCGAGCGAACAGGCGAGGAGCUUGCUCCUCUGACGUUAGCGGCGGACGGGUGAGUAACACGUGGAUAACCUACCUAUAAGACUGGGAUAACUUCGGGAAACCGGAGCUAAUACCGGAUAACAUGUUGAACCGCAUGGUUUAACAGUGAAAGACGGUCUUGCUGUCACUUAUAGAUGGAUCCGCGCCGCAUUAGCUAGUUGGUAAGGUAACGGCUUACCAAGGCAACGAUGCGUAGCCGACCUGAGAGGGUGAUCGGCCACACUGGAACUGAGACACGGUCCAGACUCCUACGGGAGGCAGCAGUAGGGAAUCUUCCGCAAUGGGCGAAAGCCUGACGGAGCAACGCCGCGUGAGUGAAGAAGGUCUUCGGAUCGUAAAACUCUGUUAUUAGGGAAGAACAAAUGUGUAAGUAACUAUGCACGUCUUGACGGUACCUAAUCAGAAAGCCACGGCUAACUACGUG
rnacentral:rRNA from 1 species